UACGUAGGGUGCGAGCGUUAAUCGGAAUUACUGGGCGUAAAGCGUGCGCAGGCGGUUCGUUGUGUCUGAUGUGAAAGCCCCGGGCUUAACCUGGGAAUGGCAUUGGAAACUGGCGAGCUGGAGUGUGGCAGAGGGAGGUAGAAUUCCACGUGUAGCGGUGAAAUGCGUAGAUAUGUGGAGGAAUACCGAUGGCGAAGGCAGCCUCCUGGGCCAACACUGACGCUCAUGCACGAAAGCGUGGGGAGCAAACAGG
rnacentral:rRNA from 1 species